CCUGGCUCAGGAUGAACGCUGGCGGUCUGCUUAACACAUGCAAGUCGAACGCAACCUUCGGGUUGAGUGGCGGACGGGUGAGUAACGCGUGAGAAUCUGCCUUGGGGUCGGGGACAACCACUGGAAACGGUGGCUAAUACCGGAUAAGCCUUUGGGUAAAAAAUUUAUUGCCCCAAGAGGAGCUCGCGUCUGAUUAGCUAGUUGGUGAGGUAAAAGCUCACCAAGGCAGCGAUCAGUAGCUGGUCUGAGAGGACGAUCAGCCACACUGGGACUGAGACACGGCCCAGACUCCUACGGGAGGCAGCAGUGGGGAAUUUUCCGCAAUGGGCGAAAGCCUGACGGAGCAAGACCGCGUGAGGGAGGAAGGCUCUUGGGUUGUAAACCUCUUUUCUCAGGGAAGAAGCUCUGACGGUACCUGAGGAAUCAGCCUCGGCUAACUCCGUGCCAGCAGCCGCGGUAAUACGGAGGAGGCAAGCGUUAUCCGGAAUUAUUGGGCGUAAAGCGUCCGCAGGUGGCGAUUCAAGUCUGCUGUCAAAGCACGGGGCUUAACUCCGUUAAGGCAGUGGAAACUGAAUAGCUAGAGUGCCGUAGGGGUGGAGGGAAUUCCCGGUGUAGCGGUGAAAUGCGUAGAGAUCGGGAAGAACAUCGGUGGCGAAAGCGCUCUACUGGACGGCAACUGACACUCAGGGACGAAAGCUAGGGGAGCGAAUGGGAUUAGAUACCCCAGUAGUCCUAGCUGUAAACGAUGGAUACUAGGUGCAGCUUGUAUCGACCCGAGCUGUGCCGAAGCUAACGCGUUAAGUAUCCCGCCUGGGGAGUACGCACGCAAGUGUGAAACUCAAAGGAAUUGACGGGGGCCCGCACAAGCGGUGGAGUAUGUGGU
rnacentral:rRNA from 1 species